GUAGUCUCGCACAGAUGCAUAUCAAUAAGCGGAGGAAAAGAAACUAACAAGGAUUCCCCUAGUAACGGCGAGUGAAGCGGGAAGAGCUCAAAUUUGAAAUCUUAAAGGGUUUCCCUUUACGAAUUGUAGUUUAAAGAAGUGUUUUCUGUUGAGGUUUUGGUAAAAGUUCUUUGGAAUAGGACAUCAUAGAGGGUGAGAAUCCCGUAUUUGACCUUUACUUUCAACUUUGUGAUACACUUUCAAAGAGUCGGAUUGUUUGGGAAUGCAGUCCAAAAUGGGUGGUAAAUUUCAUCUAAAGCUAAAUAUUGGCGAGAGACCGAUAGCGAACAAGUACCGUGAGGGAAAGAUGAAAAGAACUUUGAAAAGAGAGUUAAACAGUACGUGAAAUUGUCAAAAGGGAAGCGUUUGACACCAGUGUUGUUUUUCUGAAAAUCAAUUAAAGAACUGUUUAUGCUAAGCUGUUUAGACUUUAUCAGCUAACUGUUUAGUUUUGAGCUUUUCUUUAAUGCACUUUUCAGUUAACAAGUCUACAUCAAUUUCUUUUGCUGUAAAAAAGCUUGAGGAAGGUGGCUUGAGAUUCGUCUUAAGUGUUUAUAGCCUCUUGCCUAUGCAGUCGGAGAGAUUGAGGUCUGCAGCGUAGAUCCUUCGGGGCUAAAUGCAUUUGUGCUAAGUUAUAGCAUUUUAUAGACAACUUGUUGACUAUGAUUUGUCUUGUAGCUUACUCGCUUAUGUUAUUUUACCUACGCUUAGGAUGUUGAUAUCGCGCUCUCACUG
rnacentral:rRNA from 1 species